AUUGAAUGAAGGUUGGUGAAUGCAGCUGUUUCCUGCGGUCGGACAGGUUUACAACCUGUAGAUACCCUCAAUGUCAGGUCCUGGUCCUGCAAGCUGGCGUGUCUCAAUGUCUCCAUCACUGGCAGGUGACAGAUGCGACAUGAUGAAUCACAGCACGUGUGUUUGCGUACAUACAGGAGAUGAACAUGCUGUCGGUGCUGAUGCAGUCUGAGCUGACGGAGGUGACGGGAGAGAUCUGGUCGAACGGUGCUGUGAAAAGUGGUGUCCUCCAUCUCCAGCAAGCCAAGCUGCUUUAUCACAGGAGCGGAUGUCAAUGCUGAGCCGCCCCCAAAAGCCGGAAAAACAAUAGUGGGAACAGCAGAGGUCAUGCCUGGACUUCUGCCUGGAGCGGGCGGCACUCAGAGACUGCCUUAAAUGGU